rnacentral:misc_RNA from 1 species
GUAGGUGAACCUGCGGAAGGAUCAUUACAAUUCAGUAGCCUGCUACUGGUCGGGAGUUGCUGUAAGUCCGCAUAGUUUAAUUACUGAUGAGCGGCAGGCACUCUGUCUGAACCCUUGUCUUUUGCGCACUCUUGUUUCCUCGGCGGGCUUGCCCGCCGAUUGGACAAAACUAUAACCUUUUUAAUUUUCAAUCAGCGUCUGAAAAAACUUAAUAAUUACAACUUUCAACAACGGAUCUCUUGGUUCUG